rnacentral:rRNA from 1 species
AGCAGCCGCGGUAAUUCCAGCUCCAAUAGCGUAUAUUAAAGUUGUUGCAGUUAAAAAGCUCGUAGUUGAAUUUCGGGGUUAGUAAGUUGGUCAUGCCUCCGGUAUGUACUGGCUUUACUGAUUCCUCCUUCUUGAUGAACUGUAAUGUCAUUAAUUUGGUGUUGCAGGGAAUCAGGACUGUUACUUUGAAAAAUUAGAGUGUUUAAAGCAGGCAUACGCUUGAAUACAUUAGCAUGGAAUAAUGAAAUAGGACGUUUGAUCCUAUUUUGUUGGUUUCUAGGAUUGACGUAAUGAUUAAUAGGGAUAGUUGGGGGCAUUAGUAUUCAAUUGUCAGAGGUGAAAUUCUUGGAUUUAUUGAAGACUAACUACUACGAAAGCAUUUGCCAAGGAUGUUUUCAUUAAUCAAGAACGAAAGUUAGGGGAUCGAAGACGAUCAGAUACCGUCGUAGUCUUAACCAUAAACUAUGCCGACUAGGGAUCGGAUGAUGUUAUUUUUAAUGACUCAUUCGGCGCCUUAAC